UGCAGUCUGCAACUCGACUGCACGAAGCUGGAAUCGCUAGUAAUCGCGGAUCAGCACGCCGCGGUGAAUACGUUCCCGGGCCUUGUACACACCGCCCGUCACACCAUGGAAGUCUGCAAUGCCCGAAGCCGGUGGCCUAACCGCUUAUGUGGAAGGAGCCGUCUAAGGCAGGGCAGAUGACUGGGGUGAAGUCGUAACAAGGUACC
rnacentral:rRNA from 1 species